AAAGAAUAGCAAAGAAACAGCACUAACAAAGUUUAGACCCAUAAAUUUUGAAGGUCUAGCUACCAUAUUAUUACCCACAAGGGUAAAGGAACAGUACCACUGCUGGAUAAUUGGAAAGUCCCUGUGUGUCAACCUCUGUGCUUCGUGGCAAGGUAGACUAGCAAACAUGCCCAACCUUUACUCACAUUCGAGAAAACACUCCCAAUAAGAUUGCUUGCUCCAAAAUCGAAGAGGCACCGUCCUCCGAAUCUCGAGAGCCAGACUCCCAACAUGACUACUUUCUUAAAAAUCGAAGAGAGGGUAAAGGAACAGUACCAUUGCUGGAUAAUUGGAAAGUCCCUGUGUGUCAACCUCUGUGCUUCGUGGCAAGGUAGACUAGCAAACAUGCCCAACCUUUACUCACAUUCGAGAAAACACUCCCAACAAGAUUGCUUGCUCCAAAAUCGAAGAGGCACCGCCCUCCGAAUCUCGAGAGCCAGACUCCCAACAUGAUUACUUUCUCAAAAAUCGAAGAGACACUGCUCCCCGAAUCUCGAGAGCCAGACCCCCCAGCAUGAUUGCUUUCUCAAAAAUCGAUGAGGCAUCGUUCUCCGAAUCAAUCGAAGAGGCGCUCGCUUUCUCAAAAGCUGGGCUGCUCAGAGACCACGAGGGCCGAUCUCAGAAAUCGAAGAGGCACCUACUUUUCU
rnacentral:lncRNA from 1 species